GAAGGGUGGGAGCGCGGUGGGGGGAUAGCUGGAGCAACCAGUCAGGGAACGGCCUACUGUUUGCUUACAGAUUGGGGGUUUUUCCUCUCUCUUUACUCCAACCGGAUUGGUUUGCUCCACGAGAAAGAGGCGUUUUCCUAAUCUCCCUUCCCCACGCCUCCUACCCCCUCCCCCGCCCCACCUUCUAGAAACCUGACUAAUUGAAUUACUGGGAGUGCCGAGGCGCCCUCUCCUGCGCCGGAGCCCGGCAGCCACGUGUAACCCUUUGGGUGCUGAAUUCCGUCUGGGCUAAGGAAUGAUUUGACAUCUUUUUACCUGGGAGUAGGGUCUUUCGAUUUUAAAGGAACCUGUGCCCACCCUUUGGCUGGAGAGCCGGCAUCUGUCUCUGGUGCCCCGCAGGUGACGGAUGGGCUGGAACGGAGCCUCAGGGAGUGCGCGUUCCUGUCCAUUCCACCCGCUCUCCACGCCGCACGCUGCCUGGCGCUGGGUUAUCUGGAAGUCUGAGCACCCCUCCUGUGCCUUUCAGCCCUCCUCUUCCCACUUGGGAUUUAAAGAUUCUUGGGCAGGAAGCAAGUUUUCUUUAAAGUGAUGCUCUGAAAACACGUUUUUAAAAAUCAGGCAAAUCACAGUUUAAAGUGAUUACAAUUCAGCGCGAACCUUCCACAGAGAGGAAAUGAAUGCGGCAGACGAGCCCUUCAGAAAUAACCUCACACCUCUUCCAUUUCAACCUUGAGGGUGAUUUGCUGCCCACUCCCCAAAGAAUAAACGCCUUUAUCGAACCCGGUGCGGAAAGAAAUGAGGGCCGGGGGCGGGGGCUGUGGGAAGAAAAGCAGUUCCUUUAUUGUUGGAAAAGGCCCCUCGGUCCUGGACUUCAAGGGCAGGUUGCAAGCCUGGUCUUCAGCCGCCACUGAAGAGCGAUCUCCUGGCAGCGAGACUGUCCCAGCGCCUCGGGACGCGUCCCCACUGUCGUCCAGCGCCCAGGAAGUGAGCCCGACGCCUGCUCUGCGGGGCCACAGGCCCCCGAGACCCGCCCUUAAGGGGUCCGCGGGCUCGGGAGCAGCGGUAUUUUUUCUCAUGUUCCCUAGGGAGUUUUCUGCCUUAGUGGGAAGGGCAGAUCCCCAGGAGAAAAAAGGCAGUUUACUUUUGCUCCCACACCUGCCUGCACUCCUUUUUACUUAUUAGCCCAAUAAAAUCAAAUCUCACGUUCACCCUCCUGCGCUUUCCAGUCCUCAGACGGGAUUUCCAGGCGCUUCAGAGCUGUUUAGAAGCGUCCAGACGCCCUCCAGUGGUGGGCCUGCAAUCCGCACCCAGCAGGGGCAUUGCCUGCCGCUCAGGCCGGGUUGAAUUUGAUGGGAAAUCUAGGGCUAUGACCAAUAAAGACUCGAGAGGAAAAGAAACAGUUCAUAGGGGCACGGAGGUACCUGGAUGUUAUGGGCUCUUGGCUAAAAGUUAAGUCGUUUUUCAAUUACAGUAAUAUUUCCUAUCUGAAAAGAUCCUGAAAUCGUCCUAGGAAAGUAACUUAUAUUUUGUGACUAGAUACAAAUUGCAAUCUGUACAAUAAUGGACUUUACCACAAACCAACCAUCUGCCUAAUUAUUAAAAAUUGAAAUUCAGAAUGUCGACACAAAUGCUCCUCCAUCAUCUGUAUGUUUCACAAAGUUCCAGCAGUGAGAAAGAAGUGGGGAAAGAAGUGAGAGAACCAAUGGAUAAGCUUUUAUUUUUCAAAUCAAAUUUUCAGUUAAAAUGUUAUUUGCUUUUUUCCCUGGUCUGUAAUCUUGCUGAUGUUCAAGUUCUUGGCCCAUUUUAGGGUGUGUGUUUUUUCUGUUGCAGGAAAGAUGGAUUUGUUUCCUUAGCUUUUCUUAUAGUGGCUCUAAUAGGUGCUCAUAUGACAGAGACAGUUUUGCAGGAAAUAUUCUGGACCCUUUUAAGAGAUAUGUGUAUCUUUAAAAAGAAAAUUCACGACUCCUGUCUAGGGUAAAAUGCUGAUCCUCACUGAAGAGUCUUUUUAGUCAGGGAACUAUCAGGUAACAGGGAGCUAGCAAGCUGGCUUCCUGUGGCAUCAAAGCUGAAAAAAAGGUGAAGAAAAAGAAAUGGUAUCCACUCAUUUCCCGUUUGAAACACAUACAAUAACCAAAUGGGAAAAUUCAAUUAUAUCACAAAAAUAUGGAUGUCCUUAUAUUUAAAUAUCUCUACUAUUUAAAGUUUGAAUAGUCCCAUAUUAAACAGAAAAAAAAGUAUACAUUGUCCUCUUCCAUAAAGUGAUUCAUAAGAUUGGAAUAAGAUGUUGAAAUUCGCGGCUGUUCAUAACAUAACUCAAAUGUCUAUGUGAAACAAUUCAUAAACCUAAAUCAAAUGACUCUGGGAUUAUGUGCCUAAGUAAUUAUUGGUAUGGAAGUUACUAGUCAGCAGGAUGAUAGAUACAGUAAGUCCUUAAUGUCAGGGAUAUGUUCUUGGAAAUUGUGACUUUAAGCGAAGUGGCAUAUAUAAGGAAAACAAUUUCACCAUAGGCUACUUGAUACAAACAAGAGUUAAAUUCCUAUGCAUAUCUCCGGUCACAAAAACAUCACCAAACUUCCAGAUAAAGACCAAAACACUUCUAAUGUUAAACAUUGAAAUAAAUGUGAGCUAGACAUACAUUUGAGAAAGAUUAAUAAAAACAAGUAAGAUCAUGUAACCAAUUUUUCCAUUUCAGGAUUGCAGGUGGCCGGAGUUCAGGGCUCAAGGAGGAAAGUAACCCUGGACAGGACACCCUUCUAUCCUGGGGUGCACUCACACUCACACCCACACUCACGCAUACUGAGAAUAUUUAGAUAUGUGCACAGCUUAGACACAACCUAGCGAGCACAGCUGUGGGUUGUAGGAGGAAACCAGAGUACCCGGAGAAAACCCACGCAGACAUGAGGAGAAUGUGCAAACUACUCACAGACAGUGGCCAUGGCCUGGAAUCGAUUUUUUUUCUCAUCACCAUUAUGACGAAGUGACGUUCAACCAAACAGCGUUGAGGACCUGCUGUACUUGAACAGAGUUUGAAGAGCUAUAUUAUUAACUGUACACUUACCGUUAGAUAAUGUGACUUUGUCUCUUCAGGAAAGCAUUCAUGUGAUUUAAAUUUAUACAAAUCAACAUUAUAUAAAAUAAUUUUAUUAUAAUUCGCCCAGUGUCACAGAAGCAAUGACUUUUAAACGACUUUAAAUGCCCUUUAGAAUGUAAGUAUUUUGCCAGGUAUAGGAGGAGGUGAACGUAUAACAAAAAGAGAACAGCAAGAACCUAAAAACAUGGGGACAAAAAAAUGCAGACAGUGUUCAAACGCUUCGAGUUUGACAAGACAAUGUUGUAGGGAGCUGAGACCUGAAAAAAUAGGUUGGUAAUGGACGAUAAAAGGGCUUAUCUGCAAUUCUGUUUCCAUUUAAAGCUAUAGGCCACUGGGUGCGCUGGUGGGUUUAAAGCAAGUGCCAUUGAAGCAAUAAUUUAUAUGCCCCAAAUUAAAGCACAAAUAGGAAUUUAUGCGUUUAUUUAAUUUUUGGGGCUUGAACUACCUUGAUCAGUGUUCUAACCUUGGCUACAAAUUAGAAUCACCUAGGGAGCGUUAAAAAACAAACAAACAACAACAACAACAACAAAACCAAUACCAGGGCUCCACUUCCUGUUUUAGUUGGUUAGGAGGGGGACUUGGGAUCUACAAUUCUUAAAAGCUCUCCAGGGAAUACUAGUGAGCAUAGAGGAUUGAGAACCACUGAUCUCAAUAAAUAACCACUGGUAAGUUAUUUUUACCUUAACUAAUAUUUCAGGCAAAAGUAAGUUCUGCACUUACUUAUCUGGAGAAGUAGCCCAAUUCACCAUUAAGGCCAGAAUAUUGAUACCUUAGAGAAUUUCAUGAUCUCUAUUAAUGUGAAGUGACACUGAUACUUUUAAAUAAUUUUUACAUGGCACAAAAUUAUCUGUGAGUGCCAACUCCAAGAUGUGGUUGCAGGGCAAAGCUUAAAUAUGGAUUAAUCUUAUUUUUUAGACUAGUUUUUAAUUUGAAUUAGCUGCCACCCAAUAGAAGUAGAGUUCUAUAGUCUCAGGGUGCCUAGACAAAUAAAUGAAAUAAGCUGGCAAAUCAAAUUCCUCAGUCCUAAGCAACUUUUAAUAUAGCAGUUAAAUUAGAACUAGUAUCCAGAAGAGAUCAUAAAGAAAAUAAACUCUAGAGCAAAAAUUAAAUAAUAAUUAAACACAAAACUUUCUAACAGAUGACUAACAUAAUGGUAUUUAAGCUAACUCUGCUAUUUUUCUAGAACAUUUAGAAUAAAUUCUGAAGCUCCAAGAAGCUAAGAUCCUAUCACCAAACUGUGACUCAGCUGUCCUGCCCACAGAAUGUUUGAAGUUACCAAUAAAGCACUCUCUCUUCCCCACCUGUUUUUAUAACAAGUUCCUAAGAAUCUUCAGAAAUAACUCUUUGCUGACUUUUCUCUCCUCAGAGACUUUAAGAAAAGCUCCUUUUCUAUCCCUGAUCUAGUUAUCUCUUCUGUGUACAAUCUUAAAAAAAAAAAAAAAAAGACUAUAAAGUAUUACAUCUCUCCUUUCAUUCCUGUGACCUUCAACUUCCAUCAUGGAUUUUCUCCCUUUUCCUCAUUCUCCCCUUCCUUUUCUGGGGUUUGCUAGAAUUUAUUUCCUUAAAUCUACAGAGAAACAGAAGCAGUCCUGCAAGUUGCUGCAAUAUUCUGAAAGAGGCA
rnacentral:lncRNA from 10 species